AUUGAACGCUGGCGGCAUGCCUUACACAUGCAAGUCGAACGGUAACAGGUCUUCGGAUGCUGACGAGUGGCGAACGGGUGAGUAAUACAUCGGAACGUGCCCGAGAGUGGGGGAUAACGAGGCGAAAGCUUUGCUAAUACCGCAUACGAUCUCAGGAUGAAAGCAGGGGACCGCAAGGCCUUGCGCUCACGGAGCGGCCGAUGGCCGAUUAGGUAGUUGGUGGGAUAAAAGCUUACCAAGCCGACGAUCGGUAGCUGGUCUGAGGGGACUACCAGCCACACUGGGACUGAGACACGGCCCAGACUCGUACGGGAGGGAGCAGUGGGGAAUUUUGGACAAUGGGCGCAAGCCUGAUCCAGCCAUGCCGCGUGCAGGAUGAGGGCCUUCGGGUUGUAAACUGCUUUUGUACGGAACGAAAAGACUCUUGUUAAUACCUGGGGUCCAUGGCGGUACCGUAAGAAUAAGCACCGGCUAACUACGUGCCAGCCGCCGCCGUAAUAC
rnacentral:rRNA from 1 species